GAGUUUGAUCCUGGCUCAGAACGUACGCUGGCGGCACGCCUAACACAUGCAAGUCGAACGCAGUAGCAAUACUGAGUGGCAAACGGGUGAGUAUAAUGUGGGAAUCUGCCUUUUGGUUUGGAAUAACACGGGGAAACUUGUGCUAAUACCGAAUAAGCCCUUACGGGGAAAGUUUUAACGCCGAAAGAUGAGCCUGCACUUGAUUAGCUAGUUGGUAAGGUAAAGGCUUACCAAGGCAACGAUCAAUAGCUGUUCUUAGAGGAAGACCAGCCACAUUGGGACUGAGACACGGCCCAGACUCCUACGGGAGGCAGCAGUGGGGAAUCUUGCACAAUGGGGGAAACCCUGAUGCAGCGAUGCCGCGUGAGUGAAGAAGGCCCUUGGGUUGUAAAACUCUUUCGUCGGGGAAGAAAAUGACUGUACCCGAAUAAGAAGGUCCGGCUAACUUCGUGCCAGCAGCCGCGGUAAUACGAAGGGACCUAGCGUAGUUCGGAAUUACUGGGCUUAAAGAGCUCGUAGGUGGUUAAAAAAGUUGAUGGUGAAAUCCCAAGGCUCAACCUUGGAACUGCCAUCAAAACUUUUUAGCUAGAGUGUGAUAGAGGUAAGUGGAAUUUCUAGUGUAGAGGUGAAAUUCGUAGAUAUUAGAAAGAACACCAAAUGCGAAGGCAACUUACUGGGUCACUACUGACACUGAGGAGCGAAAGCAUGGGUAGCGAAGAGGAUUAGAUACCCUCGUAGUCCAUGCCGUAAACGAUGUGUGCUAGACGUUGGAAAUAUAUUUUUCAGUGUCGCAGCGAAAGCAUUAAGCACACCGCCUGGGGAGUACGACCGCAAGGUUAAAACUCAAAUGAAAUUGACGGGGACCCGCACAAGCAGUGGAGCAUGUGGUUUAAUUCGAAGAUACGCGCAGAACCUUACCAACACUUGACAUGUUCGUCGCGAAACUAAGAGAUUAGGU
rnacentral:rRNA from 1 species